UGCAGUCGAGCGGAUGAAGGGAGCUUGCUCCUGGAUUCAGCGGCGGACGGGUGAGUAAUGCCUAGGAAUCUGCCUGGUAGUGGGGGAUAACGUCCGGAAACGGGCGCUAAUACCGCAUACGUCCUGAGGGAGAAAGUGGGGGAUCUUCGGACCUCACGCUAUCAGAUGAGCCUAGGUCGGAUUAGCUAGUUGGUGGGGUAACGGCCUACCAAGGCGACGAUCCGUAACUGGUCUGAGAGGAUGAUCAGUCACACUGGAACUGAGACACGGUCCAGACUCCUACGGGAGGCAGCAGUGGGGAAUAUUGGACAAUGGGCGAAAGCCUGAUCCAGCCAUGCCGCGUGUGUGAAGAAGGUCUUCGGAUUGUAAAGCACUUUAAGUUGGGAGGAAGGGCAGUAAGUUAAUACCUUGCUGUUUUGACGUUACCAACAGAAUAAGCACCGGCUAACUUCGUGCCAGCAGCCGCGGUAAUACGAAGGGUGCAAGCGUUAAUCGGAAUUACUGGGCGUAAAGCGCGCGUAGGUGGUUCAGCAAGUUGGAUGUGAAAUCCCCGGGCUCAACCUGGGAACUGCAUCCAAAACUACUGAGCUAGAGUACGGUAGAGGGUGGUGGAAUUUCCUGUGUAGCGGUGAAAUGCGUAGAUAUAGGAAGGAACACCAGUGGCGAAGGCGACCACCUGGACUGAUACUGACACUGAGGUGCGAAAGCGUGGGGGAGCAAACAGGAUUAGAUACCCUG
rnacentral:rRNA from 1 species